rfam:Cupriavidus sp. HPC(L) contig34, whole genome shotgun sequence.
UGUCUCCUCCACCCUCCUCCUUUGGUGGAUUCAAACCCAAGCCUCAGCGGCUUGGGUUUUUUUUC